UCGUUGUAGAGAAAAGCACUACUUCUUGACAAUGCGCAUAAACAAUUGGAAUCAAAGACUUUCAGAAUCCAAAUGAAAAGAUUAUUUUCCAAAAAUCAAGAUAGGCUAGCUAUCAUGAAUUAUGAGGAAAAAGAACCUACCAACCAACCAUUACCAACUGCACCAAUGACCAGCACUGCUGAAGCAAGCAAGCGCAAGGCUAUGGAGAUUACCUUCGACCGAACGAAUCAGCAGAACCUGCCCACCAAAGACAGACCUUCCAGCACUAGAUAGAAAACAGAAACCAAGACUCCUUUCAAAAGGGAGUGAAAGCUACUGGAAAUGUUUUGCCAACAAGUUUUUGGAGCACAUCUUUUUGCCAAUGCACUGUCAAGCUACUAUCUUUUUGCCACAAGACUGCCUUUUUUAAAAACUACAUUACAACCAUAUGUGACGCCCCCUGCUUUAAAAAGGUAUUUUGUCAAUCAUGGCGUUGCACAACUACAACAUGCG